AGUGAACGCUGGCGGUAGGCCUAACACAUGCAAGUCGAACGGCAGCACAGGAGAGCUUGCUCUCUGGGUGGCGAGUGGCGGACGGGUGAGGAAUACAUCGGAAUCUACUUUUUCGUGGGGGAUAACGUAGGGAAACUUACGCUAAUACCGCAUACGACCUACGGGUGAAAGCAGGGGGCCUUCGGGCCUUGCGCGAUUGAAUGAGCCGAUGUCGGAUUAGCUAGUUGGCGGGGUAAAGGCCCACCAAGGCGACGAUCCGUAGCUGGUCUGAAAGGAUGAUCAGCCACACUGGAACUGGGACACGGUCCAGACGCCUACGGGAGGCAGCAGUGGGGAAUAUUGGACAAUGGGCGCAAGCCUGAUCCAGCCAUACCGCGUGGGUGAAGAAGGCCUUCGGGUUGUAAAGCCCUUUUGUUGGGAAAGAAAUCCAGCUGGCUAAUACCCGGUUGGGAUGACGGUACCCAAAGAAUAAGCACCGGCUAACUUCGUGCCAGCCGCCGCCGUAA
rnacentral:rRNA from 1 species